CCACCUACUUAGAACAUGAGAGUGGACUCUGAACGUCCAUGGAGAUUUUCUCUCUUCUGGAUUUGCCCUUUUCUCCAUGCCCCUCCCUUAUGGUGAUGGAAUUAGAAGGUGGAGAUUUGGGGAAGCGGUUAAAUCCUGAGGGCUCGGCCUUCGUGAAUGGGAUCAGUAGCGUUAUACAAGAAGCAACCUACAGGGAACCGCUGACCUCUGGACACAACAGGAUAGCCGUACUUAGGGAUUCAUAGCAGUUGUGACAUCAUGAACCACACAGACCCAUGCAAGCUCAAUCCAGACAAAAUCUCAGCAUGGAAGGGCAGAGCUAGAUAGACGUCCCACCCCCCCAGCUAAGGCGCUAUUGGCAACUGGUAGCUGUUCAUGGACAGAAGAGCCUGUUUUCUUUAAGAGUGUAGCACCUGAUAUACGAUGCAAUGAAAGAAAUUAAGCAUCGCAGAGCACACCCUGCAUGAUUUCAUUUACAUGGAGACUGGAAAGAAAGCAAUUGUGAAGGAGGUCAGAAGGAAAGGAUUUCCUGAAGGAUCUCGGCCCAGAGGGUCAUGCUGGGAGUCUUCGCAACUUCACACACUUGAUGCUCUUGAAGGACAGAAUACAGCACGUGUGUCCUGGGGUUCACAUUGAGAUCAGCUCCCUCUGUGAGGAAGGACUUUGAUACCAGUCCACUUGUCCCAAAAUGCAUCGUCUGGAGUCUCAGGCGCUCUGUCUGUGAGUGAGCACUUACCAGGAAGCUGAUGUAGCACAGAGCCAAGCAGAGAAAGAAAGGUGGGUAGCCAGACCUUCUGCUUACCCAAGGGUCUCCCUGUCCCGCUGCCUCACAGCACCCCCUGAGAAAGCCUUAUCAGUUUCUCAAACAGCCUCUGAACCUCUUCCCUCCCAAAGAUGAAUACAUUAGAUCCCUUCCAGCCAUGGAGUUGGUUGUUGUUGUCGAGAUCCUUAUACACACAGCGUGAGUUUGUCCUCUGGAAAUAACUGGGAAGUAUCCAGGAAAAGAAUUACUGCAAAUAAACACUACAGUGAAUGCUCC